CCUAAUACAUGCAUGUCGAACGAAGCACUUGUGCUUAGUGGCAAAUGGGUGAGUAACACGUACUUAAUCUACCCCCAAGUUUGGGAUAACAGUUGGAAACAAUUGCUAAUACCAAAUACAUAUAAGUUUUGCAUAAUUCUUAUAUAAAAGGAGCGUUUGUUUCGCUAGGGGAUGAGAGUGCGCUACAUUAGUUAGUUGGUAGGGUAAGAGCCUACCAAGACUAUGAUGUAUAGCGGGGCUGAGAAGCUGAACCGCCACACUGGGACUGAGAUACGGCCCAGACCCCUACGGGAGGCAGCAGUAGGGAAUAUUCCACAAUGAGCGAAAGCUUGAUGGAGCAACACAGCGUGCAGGAAGACGACCUUAGGGUUGUAAACUGCUGUUAUGAGGGAAGAAAAAUAAAAUUAGGAAAUGAAUUUUACAUGACGGUACCUCAUCAGAAAGCACCGGCAAACUAUGUGCCAGCAGCCGCGGUAAUACAUAGGGUGCAAGCGUUAUCCGGAAUUAUUGGGCGUAAAGUGUCUGUAGGUGGUAUGUUAAGUCUAGUGUUAAAGACUAGGGCCCAACCCUAGCACGCUCUAGAUACUGACAUGCUAGAGUCAUAGAGAGGUUAGCGGAACUCCUAGUGAAGCGGUGAAAUGUGUAGAUAUUAGGAAGAACACCAAUAGCGAAGGCAGCUAACUGGAUAUGUACUGGCACUCAGAGACAAAGCGUGGGUAGCAA
rnacentral:rRNA from 1 species